GAUUACUGGAUAACCUAUCUAUAUAAGAGAUUAGUUGGAGAUGGAGUAUUAAGUGUAUCAUUUGGUGGAGAUACUCAUCUAAGAGCCUACGCUCAUUGUACAAGAGUACCCAGUUCCCAUGGUUACAAUAAGGGCAGUGUAACUAUUAUUCUGAUGAAUAUUGGUUUAAAUACCAUGCCAGUCGAGAUAAAAGGGGGUCAUACACAACACCUGUAUAUGUUUUCACCUGGUGAUAGUCACGGUCUUAAUUCAGAGUCAAUCAAACUUAACGGCCAUGUUUUGAAAUUAGACAGCCAUAACAACUUCCCUAACAUGCCUCCUGUAUCACAUACGGGUACAGUUCAAGUUGGGCCAGCAGCCAUUGGUUUUAUUGUUCUACCAGAUGCCAAUCAUUCCGCUUGUCGUUAAUAAAAUAUUUUUA